CUCAUAGCGUAUAUUUAAGUUGUUGCAGUUAAAAAGCUCGUAGUCGGAUUUUGGCUGAGAACGGUCGGUCCGCCGUUAGGUGUGCACUGACUGGUCUCAGCUUCCUGGUGAGGAGGUGUGCUUCAUCGCCACUUAGUCACCGUGGUUACUUUGAAAAAAUUAGAGUGUUCAAAGCGGGCUUACGCUUGAAUAUAUUAGCAUGGAAUAACACCAUAGGACUCCUGUCCUAUUUCGUUGGUCUCGGGACGGGAGUAAUGAUUAAGAGGAACAGUUGGGGGCAUUCGUAUUUCAUUGUCAGAGGUGAAAUUCUUGGAUUUAUGAAAGACGAACUUCUGCGAAAGCAUUUGCCAAGGAUGUUUUCAUUGAUCAAGAACGAAAGUUGGGGGCUCGAAGAUGAUUAGAUACCAUCCUAGUCUCAACCAUAAACGAUGCCGACUAGGGAUUGGCGGAUGUUAAUUGAUGACUUCGCCAGCACCUUAUGGGAAAUCAAAGUUUUUGGGUUCCGGGGGGAGUAUGGUCGCAAGGCUGAAACUUAAAGGAAUUGACGGAAGGGCACCACCAGGCGUGGAGCCUGCGGCUUAAUUUGACUCAACACGGGGAAACUUAC
rnacentral:rRNA from 1 species